GACGAACGCUGGCGGCGUGCUUAACACAUGCAAGUCGAACGGAAAGGCCCCAGUUUGCUGGGGUACUCGAGUGGCGAACGGGUGAGUAACACGUGGGUGAUCUGCCCUGCACUCUGGGAUAACCCUGGGAAACUGGGCCUAAUACCGGAUAGGACCGUGCUCUAGCGUGUGCGGUGGAAAGUUUUUCGGUGCUGGAUGAGCACGCGGCCUAUCAGCUUGUUGGUGGGGUAAUGGCCUACCAAGGCGGCGACGGGUAGCCGGCCUGAGAGGGUGUACGGCCACAUUGGGACUGAGACACGGCCCAGACUCCUACGGGAGGCAGCAGUGGGGAAUAUUGCACAAUGGGCGGAAGCCUGAUGCAGCGACGCCGCGUGGGGGAUGACGGCCUUCGGGUUGUAAACCGCUUUCGGCAGGGACGAAGCUUUUGUGACGGUAGUUGGAUAAGAAGCACCGGCUAACUACGUG
rnacentral:rRNA from 1 species